rnacentral:rRNA from 1 species
GAGACACGGUCCAAACUUCCCUACGGGAGGCAGCAGUCAGGGAAUAUUCGCGCAAUCGGGGGGAAAACCCCUGACGCAGCAACCGCCCCCGUGGGAGGAACGAACACUUUUUCGGAGCGUAAACUCCUUUUCGUUAGGGAAAGAAUAAUUGACGGUACCUAACGAAUAAGCACCGGCUAACUCCGUGCCAGCAGCCGCAGUAAUACGGAGGGUGCAAGCCGUUACUCGGAAUCACUGGGCGUAAAGGACGCGUAGGCGGAUUAUCAAGUCUCUUGUGAAAUCCUAACGGCUUAACCGUUAAACUGCUUGGGAAACUGAUAAUCUAGAGUAAGGGAGAGGCAGAUGGAAUUCUUGGUGUAGGGGUAAAAUCCGUAGAUAUCAAGAAGAAUACCUAUUGCGAAGGCGAUCUGCUGGAACUUAACUGACGCUAAUGCGUGAAAGCGUGGGGAGCAAACAGGAUUAGAUACCCUGGUAGUCCACGCCCUAAACGAUGUAUACCGGUUGUUGCUGUGCUAGUCACGGCAGUAAUCCACCUAACGGAUUAAGUAUACCGCCUGGGGAGUACGGUCGCAAGAUUAAAACUCAAAGGAAUAGACGGGGACCCGCACAAGCGGUGGAGCAUGUGGUUUAAUUCGAAGAUACGCGAAGAACCUUACCCGGACUUGAUAUCUAACAAAUCAUCCAGAGAUGGAAGAGUGCCUGCUUGCAGAAACGUUAAGACAGGUGCUGCACGGCUGUCGUCAGCUCGUGUCGUGAGAUGUUGGGUUAAGUCCCGCAGCGAGCGCAACCCACGUCAUUAGUUGCUAACGGUUCGGCCGAGCACUCUAAUGAGACUGCCUUCGUAAGGAGGAGGAAGGUGUGGACGACGUCAAGUCAUCAUGGCCCUUAUGUCCGGGGCGACACACGUGCUACAAUGGCAUAUACAAUAAGACGCAAUAUCGCGAGAUGGAGCAAAUCUAAAAAAUAUGUCCCAGUUCGGAUUGGAGUCUGCAACUCGACUCCAUGAAGCCGGAAUCGCUAGUAAUCGUAGAUCAGCCAUGCUACGGUGAAUACGUUCCCGGGUCUUGUACACACCGCCCGUC